AGGACUUGUAAAGCUAUCCUUUGAUAGCCAAAUUAUUCUAAUAAAACAGGAUUUACGCAUUGAUUGACUUGGGAACAAUUGUGCUUUUCCCCCGCUAGCCAUGCACAGUCUGUUUCUGGACAUUAUAAAUUGUCUUGAAUUAUGUAGUCCUUAGAUUUGCAAGACAGUAAAUACGUUCCGUCAGUCAAAACGUGUUUAAAGCGUUGAGAGCAAAUUCAUUACUGCAGUCAAUGCGUAACCUGGUCUGGGAACGGGGGCCAGUCCAAGCCAGUGGGGGAACAAUGGCCCCUCAGUUCAAGUCCAACAAAAGACCUGUCGGACUUGUUUGAAUUUCAGAGCACGUCCUUUCUCACACAGAGGGAUGGACUAUACCCUGGCCAGAAGCAGCAGCCCCCCCACCCCACACCAACCAAUGAAAAAAAAGGGAGAAAAAAAAACAUGCCGACUCUCUCAGCCCAACAGUGCACUUUUCCAUUUUGGGCCGUGGACAAAUAGGUUAUGGGAAACUUCUCUCCCUCCCUCCCUACCUCCUCUUCACUCUCUCCGGCUCUCCACUCUCCCCACUUCUCUCUUGCACUUGGAAUAAGCCUCGGCUUACAGCAGUGCAACUGAGGCUCGCGUAAUGAACUAAGUAUAAGCGGCAAUUUUAAACGAAGUGGUGUCUAAACAGCACUGCGUACGGGAGCUUGUUUCCAUCCGGGAUGAAUAAAGACCAACGGGUUUAUCCUGGAAAAUAAGCAACUCAGAAACUCCACAACGUCCACAAAGGCCGUGGUGAAAGAUACAAGAACAAAUAUUUCUCAUGUAGAGGACAUUUUCUUCAGUACAAAAGGCAACUGUUACCUUAAAGAUACAGGGAAACUAUGGAGAGAAUUCAAAGACCUCCUUGAAAUCCAGCCUUUAUAGAGAAAACCUACACAAGGGGCGAGAUGAGAGGCAGCUCUUCUGAAGAGGUGAAGAUGGACAGCAAUCAGCGGAGGUCAAAGAUGUCUGUACCAUACCUCUUCGACAUUGGGUGGAACUAUGGGAAAACUCUGGACAUAGCAGUCUUCUUCCACAGCGCAAUAAAAGGAAAAUCCUGUUAUGGACAAGCUAAAGCUAAAAAUGACAGUUUAAUGAAGACUUGACUGUUUUUGUCAUGGCAACUGAUGCUUAAUAAGAGUACUGCCGGUUCCCCAAGACAAUUUCCUGCAAAUGUGAAAGGAAUGUUGGGAAAUGCUGAGAAUAUCUUCACCUUGCCACAAGUUGCCUCAGGGACCAGUACCACAGUGGCUGCACAGUUUUGUUUUAUGGAUCCCACAUAUCUUUGACAAUGUGGAAACAGGAUUAUAAAAAUACUACGCAAUCUAAAGCACUAUGAAACUACAACAUUCAUCAUCGAAUGUGUGCACUUUGAAAGUUACAUUUCCAUUCUGUGUUCUGUAUUGGAAAUUGUUGCUGUGUUUUUAUUUUACUUUGAAGAUUUGUCUUUAUUUUUCUAAUAAAUGAUAUGUUGUAUAAAACAGAAGAGAUCCUGCCUUUGUCUUGCUUUGAUUACCUCCGAGUGGAUUGUUGAAUAUUUAAUGCUGAGGUAUUAAAAUGAUCAGUCUAAGAAUCAUGGGGAUGAGAUGGCUCCUCUGGUGCUGUUUCAGAAGACUGAUGUGCUGUGAGCUGUCACCCGCUUGUCCAAAUGGAACAAAUGAUGUUCUGGGG
ensembl:lncRNA